GAGGAAUAGUUAGGCUUACUACGGACCUCGGGGGUUUUAGGCUGGCCUAGGUCCUAGUAUCAGUCCAGCCCAUAAAUUGGGUCGUGACACUUGUUUUCCUUCCUAUGGCUUGGAAAUUCUUCUUGUUAUUUUUCUCCAUGCUACCCAUAAAUUUAUUUUUCAUGUCUACAUCUUCUGAUUUGAGGAUGCUUUAGUUAACUGAUAUGAACAACAUUUAACGAUGCUAAAAUUGGUGUUUUAUGGUUUAAUUUAAAUAAUUUAGGAACUUAUGAGGACCCAUAAAAAACAUAGGAAUUUUUUUUACCAUCGUAGCAAUAAAUAAAGGGUCAAAAAAUUACAUCUAUGAAUAAGUUUCAUAAAAUUAUAAUUAUUAAGAAAUUUUUAAAAUAAUUAGAAUGAUUUAUAUAUUUAUUACUUUUUUUCCCUUGAGUGAUUUAUCUUUUCCACUUAAGAGCUGUGUCAACCUUGGGAGUUCAAGGUUUCGAAAAAUAAGACCUUGGGAGCUAAGGAUGUAGAUUACUUUUAAAAAUGAAAAGUUAAGGAAUGCAGAUUACUUUUAAAAAAGAAAAGUUAAAGAAUGUAGAUUACUUAUUAGUUAAGGCGUUCUAUUUAAUAUUUAUGCAGUUUGAACAGAUUGAAAAUUCAUUGCUUCCGUGGUCUCUUCUCAAAUCAAAUAUUCUUCGCCACCUAAUCUCAAUUCUUCCAUUCCCAUGAAGGUUGGACUGUUGUUCGGUGGAUUUCAGAGGAAUUUUAUGCUCAGUUUUUGUGGGCUUGUUUGGACCAUCUAAACAAGAAUGGGGAGCCAAUCUAUUAAGUUGAAGGCAGUAAUAGACAAGGAGAAAAACAGAGUAAUACUUGCUGAAUCUGAAGGGGAUUUUAUUGAUGUUCUCCUCAGUUUUUUAACAAUGCCUAUGGGAACGAUCAUCAGGCUCACCCGUUAUCAACUUCCAAGCAUUGGUUGCAUGAACAACUUGUAUGCAAGUGUUGAAAAUCUUGAUGUCAGGCGUUUCAGGACUCAAGCAUGCAAGGAAAUGCUUCUAAGUCCUCUGAAUGGGGCUGCAACUCACUGCAAUUACCUGAAAUUGAAAAUUGACUACAUGACCAAUAAUCUAGAAUACCUUUAUUGUGGGGACUCGGAGUGCGUGGCAUCUAAGCACAAAUUAUUUACUCAUUACGGUGGUAGCUUUUGUGGUUGUGGAAAGCCCAUGAAGUAUUCGUUAAAUCAGUUGUCUAAUGCUGAGUCAAAUAAUAUUGUUGUUUCUGAUCCUCGAGAUGAAGGGGUGUUUGUUAGAGGACUGACCCGACUUAUAAUAAGUGACGAAUUACAUUUGAUGCCCCCAUCAGCCACAGCAAGCUUCUCUUUGCUUGCCAAGCAUGGAGUCAUGGAUGCAAAUACCAUGGAGGAAAGGACGUUUGAUGUUCAUGUAUAUGAGGUUUUGAAUUUGCUGAAGAGCACCUUGGUAUCAAAGACACCUUUGACAGAAACUCUAUUAAAGCAACAACGAAUGCCUGAACCAAGGAAGGAAGAUUUAGGUGUAGGGUGGUUCAUUAAACAGAAGAUAGGAGAACAUGCAACUGAAGGAGAUAGGAAGAUUUGUGUCAGGCUCGUGCUGAGUAAAUCCAAGAAGAUGGUAUGUUAUGCAGAAGCCGCGGAGGAUUUUGUUGAUUUACUAUUCAGCUUCCUUACCAUUCCUCUUGGGUUUAUAGUCAAAGAAAUGCGUGGUUAUCCUUCCAAAGGAUGCAUAACUCAUUUAUAUGAUAGUGUUGAGGAACUUGAUACUGAGAAAUACUUCAAGUCAAAUGACCACAAAGAGACUCUACUUAGUCCCAAGAUGGCAUCUCGUUUUGGCUACAAGAACCAGCUAAUAGGGGUGGAAGAAGUUAAUCAGCAGUACUAUUUGUCGGGAGAUUAUCCUUGUAUUUUUACUCAUAAACCAACUAACAGGAAAUUUUCUACUUUAAACAUGAAUGAUCCUAAAGCACCACUUUAUAAGGAACAAGCUAUAAGCAAUGGAGGAUUUGUGUUGGGACCUGAAACGUUUACAGUAACCGAUGAUCUGAGAGUAACACCAAUAUCCCCUGUCUUACGUUUGUCUGUUCUGAGCCAAUUGAAAGUACCUUUCAGUGACAUUGAAGAGCGCAUUGUGCAUGUGGGCAAUGAGGAGGUGAGUCAUGUUAACUUGAGUUCUGUUCUGUCGUAAAACAUCCUAUGAAUUAUGAGUAUCAACCUUUUUAUUAUUCAAUCUUUAGGUCAUGUUAGUUUAGCUUUAUUAUAGAAAUAUUUGUUGAUUUUAUUUUAUGAUGAAUUUCUUGUCAUUCAUUUUUUAAAAAAUAAAUUUGGAUUAUGUAAUAAUAAAUUAAAAUAAAAAAAUAGAAAAAGAAAAAAGAAAUGUCCUAUAGGAAAAAUGUCCUAUAGGAAACUCGAUCGUCCCGACCUGAAACUUUUGUAGGACUGGAUAGAGGGAGUGAUCCUCGCUUUUGAUAGGCCCCAUUACCAUUCCUUAAAAAUAGAAAAUGAAAAAAAAGAAAAACCCUAAAAAAGAUUUUGUAGUUGUUCAUAUUUGUUGAUUACUGUGAACCUGUAAUUACUUUGAUCAGUGGAUGUUCAAGCCUUAUUGGCACAAACAUAUGUAUUUUGAAUUUCUGAUAGGGUUUUCCUAUCAGAAUUCUCUUUGAUCAAAUUGACCAUUUUGCAGAAUAGAGUGCUAAAAUGGCAAGUUUACAAAAGAUGAUGAGCUCUGCAAUUUCUGGAAGGAUAAUUACCCAUAUUAUGUAGUGAUAACUCUGUUAUAAAUAUCUAAUUCAUUCCUGUUGUUGUUGAUCACUUGCCAACAUAUUUCGUAUCACAGGCUUUGCGUCUCCUGGUAGCUUCAUUUAUCUCUGAAUCUGCUCUAACUGAUACUUUUACCCCCAAAAGGCUAGAACAAGAAUACUGAGGCCUUGAAGCCAUCUUUGUUCUCUUAGUGGAGUCUGGAGCAAAGAGGAUGCACUGGUUUAUGAUCCUUUGUAUUUUGGUAUGUAAAUUUGUUGUCUCUACUUUUUGUUGACCCACAUAUGAUGUCCCAGUGAAUGAUGGUCUUGUAUUAUUAUUUAAAGUUCAACUUAUCUACUGAUAGUUGUAAUAGUGAUGGGUUUGUUUGAUAGAUUUAUUAAAUAAUUUGAUUCAGCUGUUUAGAUAUUUUUAAAUUAUCAGUUGUAUUGAAAAGUUAAAUCAAACACCCAUUUAAUGGUUAAGGACUAAUUAAUAUAAUUUUAAAAAUAAAGAGAUUUGAG
rnacentral:misc_RNA from 1 species